rnacentral:rRNA from 1 species
UUUAUGGAGAGUUUGAUCCUGGCUCAGGAUGAACGCUGGCGGCGUGCCUAAUACAUGCAAGUCGAGCGAACAGAUAAGGAGCUUGCUCCUUUGACGUUAGCGGCGGACGGGUGAGUAACACGUGGGUAACCUACCUAUAAGACUGGAAUAACUCCGGAAACCGGGCUAAUGCCGGAUAACAUGUUGAACCGCAUGGUUCUACAGUGAAAGACGGUCUUGCUGUCACUUAUAGAUGGACCCGCGCCGUAUUAGCUAGUGGGUGGGGUAACGGCCUACCAAGGCGACGAUACGUAGCCGACCUGAGAGGGUGAUCGGCCACACUGGAACUGAGACACGGUCCAGACUCCUACGGGAGGCAGCAGUAGGGAAUCUUCCGCAAUGGGCGAAAGCCUGACGGAGCAACGCCGCGUGAGUGAUGAAGGUCUUCGGAUCGUAAAGCUCUGUUGUUAGGGAAGAACAAAUGUGUAAGUAACUGUGCACAUCUUGACGGUACCUAACCAGAAAGCCACGGCUAACUACGUGCCAGCAGCCGCGGUAAUACGUAGGUGGCAAGCGUUAUCCGGAAUUAUUGGGCGUAAAGCGCGCGUAGGCGGUUUUUUAAGUCUGAUGUGAAAGCCCACGGCUCAACCGUGGAGGGUCAUUGGAAACUGGAAAACUUGAGUGCAGAAGAGGAAAGUGGAAUUCCAUGUGUAGCGGUGAAAUGCGCAGAGAUAUGGAGGAACACCAGUGGCGAAGGCGGCUUUCUGGUCUGCAACUGACGCUGAUGUGCGAAAGCGUGGGGAUCAAACAGGAUUAGAUACCCUGGUAGUCCACGCCGUAAACGAUGAGUGCUAAGUGUUAGGGGGUUUCCGCCCCUUAGUGCUGCAGCUAACGCAUUAAGCACUCGGCAGAGCGUCGUGUAGGGAAAGAGUGAAACUCAAAGGAAUUGACGGGGGACCCACAAGCGGUGGAGCAUGUGGUUUAAUUCGAAGCAACGCGAAGAACCUUACCAAAUCUUGACAUCCUUUGACCGCUCUAGAGAUAGAGUUUUCCUCUUCGGAGGACAAAGUGACAGGUGGUGCAUGGUUGUCGUCAGCUCGUGUCGUGAGAUGUUGGGUUAAGUCCCGCAACGAGCGCAACCCUUGAACUUAGUUGCCAUCAUUCAGUUGGGCACUCUAAGUUGACUGCCGGUGACAAACCGGAGGAAGGUGGGGAUGACGUCAAAUCAUCAUGCCCCUUAUGAUUUGGGCUACACACGUGCUACAAUGGACAAUACAAAGGGCAGCGAAACCGCGAGGUCAAGCAAAUCCCAUAAAGUUGUUCUCAGUUCGGAUUGUAGUCUGCAACUCGACUACAUGAAGCUGGAAUCGCUAGUAAUCGUAGAUCAGCAUGCUACGGUGAAUACGUUCCCGGUCUUGUACACACCGCCCGUCACGCUCUUCCGAUCUUGUAACACCCGAAGCCGGUGGAGUAACCAUUUUGGAGCUAGCCGUCGAAGGUGGGACAAAUGAUAGGUGAAGUCGUAACAAGGUAGCCGUAUCGGAAGGUGCGGCUGGAUCACCUCCUUUCU